GUGCUCACUUUGGCAGCACAUAUAUAAAAUUGUAAUGAUACAGAGAAGAUUAGCAUGGCC
rnacentral:snRNA from 1 species